rnacentral:rRNA from 1 species
AAGAAUUAAAAGGUCGAACAGACCUAGUUUUAAUGAAAUCUGCUCCAAUAUCUUAUCUUAAUCCAACAUCGAGGUCGCAAACUAAUUUAUCGAUUUGAACUCUUCAAAUUAAUUACG